AACAAAAAACAAAAACUUUACAUUUUAAAUUGUAUCAACCCAAUAAUUGUAUUUUUCUUAUUCUUUUUCUUUUUGUUUUCUAUUUUAAAAGAAAAAAUAUUGUGAUCAAUGUUCAUUUAAAAAUAUGUUUUUAAAACAAAAAAAAUUAAAAUUAAAAAAUCUACUUUAAAAAUUAUUUAAAGUCAUAAAAAAAUAUCCAUCCUAAACUAUUUGUUAAAUAAAAUCAUUUAUUAUAUAACGAAAAAAAAAACUAUUUGAUUUUACAAAAUUUAUUUAUAUACAUACAUACCAAGUAUUUUUCUUUCUCUUUAUUAGUAUAUUUAUUUUCCUUAUAUACAUAAAAUGUACUAUUUUUUUUUUAAAUAUUAUUUUUUCUAUACCUAAGUGAUUUUGUUUAAGUAUAAUAAUUAUAUUUUUUGCUAAGCUGAUGACAUUAUUUGUCCCACUGUGGCGAUACAAAUAUCGUAUUUGAUAUUUUUAUUUGUUAAAAUUUUAAAAUCCACAACGAAUUUUGUUAAUAUAUACUUUUUUUUAAAUAUCUACAUCGAUUAAAUUAAAUGGUUUACCAAAUUUUAAUACAUCCUAGAAUCUAAGCCAUCAAAAAAUGAAUUCAAUAGAAAGACUUUGGCCACCCUUGAUGUUGAAAAAAACUGCACUUUUGAAUCGAGACGACUGUGACGUGUUUUUCUUUUUCUUUCUAACAGCUCCUGUAAUACAGGGUCCAGCAAAAAGAUCUCCCAUAUCCAUCUUGUUGGAACCAGACUUUUUUGUGGUUCCUAGUUAACUGAUUUAAGUUUGGUUAGAGGAAGGUCUCAAUCAUGUGACAGUAGCGAUCCGCUUUAACCAUAACUUUUUGCCCAUUUUCUUCGAAAAAAUACGAACCAACAACCCAAAUUCAGCAACAGCACACCAAACUGUCACAUAAGGGCUGUAAAGUGGUCGUUGACGAAUUUCUUGAGGGUUUUCUGCUGCUUAGUAUCGGAAAUUUUGUUUAUUUACAGUACCCGAUUAAUGGAAAUGGGCCUCGUCAGACGAAAUUACAAUGUCUUCCCAAACAGCUCUGCAGAACCAAGAUUAUGGAUAUAUUCCUUUACGACAAAUGCGCGAUGAUCACCGUGCCACGCCAUUAUGAUUACUAAAAACGGCACGUAGACUCUAUCUAUCUAUACCCGGAAUACUAUUUUAUCUACAAGGUGUCUCAAAAGAAAGUUCACAUUUAAAUCUUUUUUUAAAAGAAAAGUCUUAGCUUUAUUGAAAAAAUGUUUAUUUUAUAUUGAAGUACACUGUUUGGGAAUUUAUUUUUUUUAAAUAACAUCUAAAAUUGCCUAUGACAGCUCGGCAGGUAGUCUCCGUGAUGGCUGCCAUUUCAUGACGGAUAUUUUAUUUUAAUUGUGCCGGUUUAUUAGCGUAAACUUUUGAUUUGAGAUAACCCCACAGGAAAAAAUCCAUAGGCGUUAAAUCGGGACUCCGUGGAGGCCAAUUUAUGUCACCUCGCCUGGAGAUUUAAAAAAAAAUUCUCGAACUCGAGGCAGAUAUCUGUUGGACGUGUGUGAAGUUGCUCCAUCCUGCUGGAACCAUGUUCUUUGGUUGUAACCAGGAAAGUUUUGCAGUUGGGGUACGAAAAACUCGUCUAACAUCUCCACAUAACGCUCGCUCUGAAUUCACUGUGAGUGUGCGUCCCCUUCCAUCUUCAAAAAAGUAAGGGCCGACAAUUCCUCGCGGCGACAUCGCUGCCCAUACGUUGACUUUGGGUGAAUGUAGCGGUUUCUAAUGUUUUUGUUUUGGGUUGGUUGCACUCCAGUAACAACAAUUUUGCUUGUUUACAUGCAACAAGAUGUUGGUGAACGUUGGAAAGCGCUCAAUCAUCUGAUUUACAAAGGCAAGCCUCUGACCAGCAUCUUGAGGCUUCAGUUCUUGCACUAUCUGAAUUUUGUACGGGUGCAGCUUUAAAUCUUUGUGUAAAAUGCGGCAUAAUGAAGAUCUGUGCACAUUUAAAGCAACAGCACGCUUCCGAAUCGAGAGGUUUGGAUCAUCUCGAAUAGACUGAGUAACAUUGUCCACGUUUUCAGCUGUUCUUGAUGCUCUUGGCCGCCCAGAUUUUGGUUUCUCCAGAGUUGACCCAGUCUUUUCAAACUUCUCAUUCGUCGAGUGCUAGGCGCAUCAUUUAAGUGACGACUAUGUCGAAUACUGCAGAAUUUUCUACGCGCCACAGUCGCCGAAUUACCGUUUUUGUAAAACUCACGUAGCGACUAAAUUCCCAAGAGCCGGACUACCGACUGACAUACCCCCCGUGCCCCUCAGAAUAGUUGCUUUCGCGUAAUAAGAUAAGCAAAUGUGAACUUACUUUUGAGACACCUUGUAUAAAAAGCUUUAAAUAUAAACGUCUAAAAAUACGGGAUAUUUUUUUCCGGACCCUGUAUUUUCAUCAUAAUAAGCAACUGAUUUUUGUGUUACAUGUAAUUGGGUUAAGACAGUUCCCUAGAAACUUUUCCCGUUGACAAAAUUUUAAAAUGUCCACAAUGUUUGCAAUUUUCCUUAAAAGUCUAUAAAGAAUGAGAGCCAAUGUCUCCUAGGAAUUUAAUUUCCAAAUUAAAUGUAUUUCAAAAGAUUCUUAUUUACGUUCCCAAAUUUUGUAGAUCGGAAAAAUAGCUCCAAACAACUUCUAUAGAAGUAGUAAGAUUUUUACAAUAUGUGGAUUUUUGACCAAAGAGCACAUUUCUAAAAUGAAAAGAGAAAAAUGUCACGACAAAAUCGUCGUUAAUGUAAUUGUUAACAACAAAUGAAGUAUGCAAAAUAAAAGGUACCACGAUCUUCCUAAAUAAUGUAUUUUCCAGAAUAUAUUCAGAAAAUCAAAUUCGAAACCCAAAUACCAAAAUAAAAGGUACCACAAUCUUCCAUGAUAAAUUCAGAAAAUUAAACUCGAAACCCAAAUACCGUAAAGGGUUUUCCCGUCUUCUAUCUUUACGGGUGUCUUUUAAAAGGUCCUAGGAUAACAUUAUUGUCAAAUCUCUUUUUUUUUAAAUAUUUUUCCCAGUCAAGACUGUUUCAAUUCAAAAUCGAACAGAACUGAUAAUACUGGCCUAUCUUAAUCCAUUCAAGGCCUAGUUCUUUUUUGAAUAUAAAUAUAAAAUAGUUCCAAAAUUAUUCAUCUUGAAACAUAACAUACACUUAGUUAAAUUGCUUUAAGGAUUUUGUCAUUAACAAAAUUUUGUAGUCCACGAUUUUCAACUUUUCCUUGUAAGCCUUAAAAAAUGAGAGCUUAUAUCUCUUACUUAAUUUCCAGGAUCAAUACAUUUCAAGUGAUACUUUAGAAAUUAUUUAAUUCCUUAAUUUUGAAGAUAGGAAAAAAUUCCGUAGAAAAUUUCACGACAAAACCGUCAUAUAUGUUAUUGUUAAUAACAAAUGCAAAACAAAAGAUAACACUAUCUUCGUAAAUAAUGUAUUUUCCAGGAUAUAUUCAGAAAAUCAAAUUCGAAAAUCGUACUUUUUCUCUACAGAUGUCAUUUAAAAGGUCCUAGGAGACAAUUUAAAAUACAAAACAAAAUAUUGGUAAAUUCGAGGGUGGGCAAAGUCAAGACUGUUUCAAUUCAAUUCUCCUUGGAACAGUACAUACAGCAGUACUUAAUUAAAUUGCUUUUAUAAUUUUGUCUUUUCGAAUGGCAGCUAUAAAUGUUUUGGUGCUAAAAAAGUGCUAGAGAUUUCAAAAUCACAUAAACUAAAAUUCAUCUUACUUUAAAAUAUUAAAAAAAACCGAAUUGGCUUAAAACUUACUUAAAUUUGACUAAGCCAUUUAAGUAAUAAAAUUGAUGUAGAUAUUUUAAAGUCUUACCAUUGUUGUGGUAACCAUUAUAUGCCUUUAUUUUAGAAUAUUUAUCGUAAGAUUGUUUGUUUAUUUAAAAAAAAAAACUAUUUUACAUUUCACAGAGUUAUGCAAACACAUUAGAAUUCAUGAGUUCAUGAAAUAAAUAAAUUCAAAUUAUCGAUCAAACAAAAUGAACAAACAAUCUUUCGAAUCUCCUCCUGCUCAUCGCCUUAAACAAUUAUGUGCAAUCGAUUACAACGAUUUUUGUUUAUAUUUUUUUUUAUUUUUUGUAAAUUAUAUAUACCUACUAUUUUGUUAUUUCUUUAAGUAAAAUCUAUCCACCCAUAUGUUCAACCUCCUUGAUAUCCAUUUACUAAGUCCUAAACAAACAUAUUAAAAUCACAAUUCUAUAAAAAAAAAUUCAUAUUGGAUGUUUUAACAGAAAAUACAAUUUCAACUUUACUAAAAACAAAAGAUAAAACAUCCGCCGAUCUCUAACUGUGCCACACAGAAAAAUAAAAUUUGACAAACAAAAUACCACAUUCACAUAGAACUAAAAAAAUAAUAAUAAUAAAUAUUUUAAAUAUUUAUAAAGUUCUAAAAAUAAAUAUUAAUAAACUUGAGAGAUUAAUUUAUUAAGAAACAAUAAAACAUUAAAGAAAAUUACGAAUAAAGUAGAAAUUUAAAUAACCAUUUGAAUACUUUGCAAGGGCUUCUUUUUAAAUUUGAUUUUAACAUUUUGUCUCGCAGUGUGUUAUACAGGGUGAGGCAAGAGUCACUUCAGAAAGUCACUUUCUUGCAGAAUUGUUUUAAAAUUUCAGUAUCCAUUACUAUUACUAUCUAUUACAUUAGCAAUUCCUCUCAAAUAUGUAACCGUUAAUACCAUUUUUGACUUAGCAAGAAGUGACCGACCGGAAGUGGGAUUUUCUUCAUCCUGUAGUUGGGUAUUUAGAGUCAUUUAGAAAUUAUAACGAUAAAAACAAGCAAAAUUAUGUUUAUUUAAGAUAAAUUUAUUUAUUUUGUUAGUAAAUUAUUUCGCUUUGACAUACAUUAUACAACAUUUACAUACACAUCAUGCACAAAUUAAUUAUUUUUAUGAAAUAAAAGUUAAAAAAAGUAAAACAAUAUAUUUUUAAAUAAACUUUCAUGCUUACAGACACCCUUGUUUGAUAUAUCUAAAGAUAUUAAAAGAAAUUUAUGACGAAUGACUGAGAAAACAAAAUUAUGAACUGAGAUUGUUUAAAAAAUAUAAAACGAGUUAACUAUAAUAAUAUACACAUCCUGAAGUACUAUAAAUAAUACAAUUACAAUUAACAUACACUCAUUUAUGUACUUGUACUCAUUUACUUUCUCAGUUCAAUUAAAGUAAAUUGUUGGAUAACAAUUUUUGUUUCUAAGAAAAUAAAAAACAAAAUCAAUAUAUAUAUAUGUCCAAAUGUAUAUAUUGGUUUUAUUGCAUUAUUAUAAUUCAAUUGCACCAAUGAAUCCGUCUUUUGCACGCGGGCUGACUUAAUUUACACACAAGAUUACAUAACAAAUCAAAGAAAACAUGCAACUUAUUGCGUGCAAACUAUUUAAAUUAUAAAAAUACAAGAAGAUUUUACUGCAGUAGUUUUUUAGUAAAGAUGAUGGAAAUUUGCUAAAAUGUUUUUUGGUUAAACAAAAGAGUAAACAAAUAGAGAAAACACUUUCAUAAUAUGUUGAACUAGAAAUGAGAAAACUAAAAUAUAAUUAAAUUAAGCGAGUAAUGAUAUUUGAAUGUUUUAAAUUGCGAACUGCUUAAAUAUAGUUAUCGAGUUUUAGAAAACAAAACAAAAAAACAGCAAUACCUAUUUAAUUUCUUUUUUUUUUUAAUUAUUAUUUGUGGACAAACACGUAUACAGUUGAAACAAAUAUAUUUUUUAUUUCAAAUAUUAUGUUAAUGAACUAAAUGAGGAAUAAAGAAAAUAUUUUAAAACCUACAAGUCA